CCCUUAGAUGUUCUGGGCCGCACGCGUGCUACACUGAGUGGUUCAGCGGGUCAGGUUGCGCGAAAGCGUUUCCUAAUCUUUAAAUCCGCUCGUGAUGGGGAUUGACGGUUGCAAUUUUCUGUCAUGAACGAGGAAUACCUUGUAAGCGCGGGUCAUCAUCCCGCGCUGAAUACGUCCCUGCCCUUUGUACACACCGCCCGUCGCUCCUACCGAUUGAGUGGUCCGGUGAGGCUUUGGGAUCUGAGCGGAAAGAGCGUUUCGCUGUUUCUGCUCGGAAAACUCAGUCGAACCUUAUCAUUUAGAGGAAGGAGAAGUCGUAACA
rnacentral:rRNA from 1 species